ensembl:lncRNA
CUGACAGAAAUGUUAUUAAAUAAGCAGUUUUACACUUCAAUGCAUAAAAGACCAAAAUAUUAUAUUUCAAAUUCUAACAAUUACAGGAGAGCAUUCAUAAAUAUUUUAUAAAUACAAAUAAUAACACACUUCUGACUGCGCUGUAGGAAAAUAAUCCACACUGAGGGGUUUUAUUCAACAUCAGGGUUAAUUAUGUUCCUAUAACAGCACAUCCCCAAGUGUUUUAUUCCUCUUACACCACAGCAUCGAUUACCCUCUUCAUUUAUUCAUGAAUGACGCUUUAUACUUUUUAUCCAUUUAUAGCUACAUUUUAUGCUGUGGUGUGUCAGUGAAGCAAGUUAGUUCCUGUUCUCACUUACAUUAUUACAGCAGCUAUAAACACUUCUUUCCUCACCAUCUCUCUAUUCUCUCUCUUUCCCUUUUUUAUUCUCUCUGUAUUCUCUCUCUUUAUUCUCUCUCUCCACAUUACUAGGAUAAAAAACUAAAUACAGUUUGUGAGAAACAGUAAAGAAGUGUAAACUCCUCUGUCCUGAAGAUGUUGAAAAACUUAGUUACAGCUUUACCUCUGACUGUUACACAGCGCUGACCUUGGAGACUCCUUCCAUACAUGUUACAUAAGCUCCUCAACAAAAUGAUCAAAAAUUGUCCGCUGUACACGCCCCUGUGAACGAGCCAUUACUAUAGAACGAUAAGGUAUUAUAAUUAGAGCGAGCGCAGUAAUAUAAAGCUGCGCUGCUCUCAGAGCUGCUGUUAUAGAGAACUAAUCACCUUCUGAAUGAGGAAUGUAAACACACUGUGGUGUAAAAUGUUUAAUGCUGAAGUUUCUUUGUGGUGUAACAGUCAGUUGGUUAGAUUUAUGAUGUAUGAAUUUAGGGAUUAUUUUAAUGAUUGUGUUUUAUUUUGAAGCUGAUUUUUGUAAAUGAUAUUAAACUCACGUUUAUCCCAAAGAGAAAGAGACACUGAGCCAGUAUUAAAACAGGUUUAUUUUAGUGUAAAACACUCACUGUCAUUCAGUAAAUAUGUUAAAUUCCAGGUGUGUAUACACAAUCAGCACAGUUACUAAAUUAUUAUAGUAAUAAUUAUAGUAUAUAGAGUAUUAAUUAUAUUCUGAUUUAUUGUCAUUUCUUUGUGCUAAACGUUACAUUCCGAGUCGCUGAGAGACUCAGAGGCUUUACCACAACUCAGCUCUGUGAUAAAUAAUAUUUAUAUUUAUAUCUAAGUAAUUUAUAUAAAGUAUUUGCUGGAUUCCGAAUGAGAAACUGUUCCAGGUGAAAAGUCACCGUUUGGGAUUUUUAUCUUUUUUACUCUGUGCCUUAUACAGCAGGAAAAUUAAUGUUUUACAGAUUCCUGAUUCAGUUCUACUUCCUCUGGCUCCGCCUCUGGCAUUACCUAGCCACGCCCCUGACGACGGUUCCCACCUGCCUGUGAUAAAUAUCACUGUGUCACUAGUGUGUAUCCUGUAAAGCCUUGAUAAAGGUCUAGUCCGUUACCUCACUUAAAUUUAUUUACAUGUUGAUAAUCAAACAUAGUUGUAGGGGCAUGGCCUGGUCAGAUCGGGGCAGAGCUAAGGCAGGGGAAAAAACACAAGGUUUGUAACUGAAGCACUCUGUAUGAAGUGUCGUCAUGGCAAAGAGAUGUUAAGUCUGGUGACAGUGUUGAUGAUAUUUAAAGUGUUUGUAUUACAUAUUUUUGGAUAUUUUUUAUGACCCAAUAAGCAAAUGAGCUGCUCAGAGUGAUUCCUAGUUAAACUCUGAUUGUAAAACAGAUUAUUUGUGAUGUUUGAUCGUUAAUUUGUGCCACAAGUUUUAUUUUCUCUAGCAGAAAAUAAUUCUUUAUUGUGUCCGGAUUUAUCACAUUAAUAAUAAACUCAUCUGAUUUUAUUCUCAAA